ACCACCGCGGCUCCGCGAAGUGCUGCAGGAAGCCAGCAGAAGCCGAGCGGCGACAUUUCCCAUGGAAACUGCAGUUGCCAGGGGAGGUGCGCAACGCGAUGGGGAGGAUGUGCUCGGGCUCCUGAGGGCAGCGCCAAGGGGACACGGGGGCAGCGAGGCUCCGGAGCCCGAAGGGGCAGCGAGUGCAAACCCAGGGAGGUCAAACCCCAGCAGCGGGGCCGCCCGGGGACGUGCAGCCUGGGGUGUUCCAGCAAUUAGGGUAGGACCGGCAUGGAAAGGAAGAAAGGAGCUUUUUGGUGUGAGACCUGGAAUGUGGGGACACUUCAGGGUUAUUACCACGGGUGGGUGCAGUUUUCCCAGAGUUCAGCCACCAUUAACAUCUCCUGGUGACUUUAAUGCCUUUGAACGUUUGCUUCUGAUGUGUUAGGGCUGCUGGUGCUGUGCUGGAAGCACCAGCACCGGGGCAGAGCAGGACAGCGCGGUCCUGCCGGCUGGUGGCAGUGCUGGCAGCGUGGAGCACCGCGGGGCACCAUCGGCGUCUCGUGGCAGCCGGUGGCAUGGGCACCAGGACAGGAUCAGCACCAGGACCAGGCACCAGGACAGGAUCAGCAAGAGCACGGGGAAGCCGGCGGGUGCCGACAAGUCUCAGCCCGGCUCUGGGCAGGGCUUGCCCGCAGCGCUGCCCGGGCUGCAGGAGCCUGAGCUGCUCCUGCCCGUGCCACGAUGCCUGGAGCACAAGCCCCGCCAGCCUUGCUCCUCCCUGCCCGCCCCGAGGAUUUCACCAGGAGGAUGCCUGACGGGGAAGAAAGUUGCAGGGACCUUAAACCCGCCGCGGCGGUGACGCUGCAGAGCGCGCGGCGGAGCUGCUUGUUAUGCUGUUCAUGAUCCUCCGGCUGCUCUGCAGCUCCCCCAGCCUGUUUGUUCCAGCCAUCUGUUGCCUCUCAUUAUAUAUUUAAGUGCUGAUCCUGGAAACACUCGGGUACCCGCUCUGCUUUCCGCAGAGGUGCGCGCU
rnacentral:lncRNA from 1 species